rnacentral:rRNA from 1 species
UACAGAGGGUGCAAGCGUUACUCGGAAUUACUGGGCGUAAAGCGAGCGUAGUCGGUUAUUUAAGUCGGGUGUGAAAGCCCCGGGCUCAACCUGGGAAUUGCAUUCGAUACUGGAUAGCUAGAGUUCGGUAGGGGAGACUGGAAUUCCUGGUGUAGCGGUGAAAUGCGCAGAUAUCAGGAGGAACACCGGUGGCGAAGGCGGGUCUCUGGGCCGAUACUGACGCUGAGGAGCGAAAGCGUGGGGAGCGAACAGG